UUCAAUUGGAGAGUUUGAUCCUGGCUCAGAAUGAACGCUGGCGGCGUGCCUAACACAUGCAAGUCGUACGAGAAAUCUUCCGCUUGCGGAAGAGAGUAAAGUGGCGAACGGGUGAGUAAGGCGUGGGUAAUCUAGCUCUGAAUUAAGGAUAACCCGCCGAAAGGCGGGCUAAUACUGAAUAAUAUCUUGCAACCAAGGUUGUCAAGAUCAAAGGUGGCCUCUACGCGUAAGCUGCCGUUUGGAGAUGAGCCCGCGUGCCAUUAGCUUGUUGGUGGGGUAAUGGCCUACCAAGGCGACAAUGGUUAGCUGGUCUGAGAGGAUGAUCAGCCACACUGGAACUGAGACACGGUCCAGACUCCUACGGGAGGCAGCAGUGAGGAAUCUUGCGCAAUGGGGGAAACCCUGACGCAGCGACGCCGCGUGAGUGAAGAAGGCCUUCGGGUCGUAAAGCUCUGUCAAGUGGGAAUAAAGUCCCGCGGUUAAUAGCCAGGGGAUCUGAAGGUACCACUAAAGGAAGCGCCGGCUAACUCCGUGCCAGCAGCCGCGGUAAUACGGAGGGUGCGAGCGUUAUUCGGAUUUAUUGGGCGUAAAGAGCGUGUAGGCGGUUGGGCUAGUCAGAUGUGAAAUCCUUCUGCUCAACGGAAGAAGUACGUCUGAAACUACCCAACUUGAGUACGAGAGAGGAAAGUGGAAUUCCCAGUGUAGAGGUGAAAUUCGUAGAUAUUGGGAGGAACACCUGUGGCGAAGG
rnacentral:rRNA from 1 species